rnacentral:ncRNA from 1 species
GCAGAGUAAGUAUGGGCGCGCAGGAAAAGAAUCAUUUUCCUCCAGUGCCGGAUGGACGGGGAGCUGUCAUCCGGACGAAAAGCAUGGCUUGCGGUGCCCAUGCUGCAUCCCGCUGC